CAGCAGCCACGGUAAUACCGAGGGUGCGAGCGUUAAUCGGAUUUACUGGGCGUAAAGCGUGCGUAGGCGGCUUCUUAAGUCGGAUGUGAAAUCCCUGAGCUUAACUUAGGAAUUGCAUUCGAUACUGGGAAGCUAGAGUAUGGGAGAGGAUGGUAGAAUUCCAGGUGUAGCGGUGAAAUGCGUAGAGAUCUGGAGGAAUACCGAUGGCGAAGGCAGCCAUCUGGCCUAAUACUGACGCUGAGGUACGAAAGCAUGGGGAGCAAACAGGAUUAGAUACCCGCGUAGUCCCUGUCUCUUAUAC
rnacentral:rRNA from 1 species